rnacentral:rRNA from 1 species
GGUAGGAAUACCCGCUGAACUUAAGCAUAUAUGGGCGGGAAGAAAAUCUUUUCGAUUU